GAAGGAGUCUCUCCUAGAACAGCAGGUUCAUUUCUUUGACGGUUUGAUUUUUCUUCAAUUGUUUAGUAAUAAUACAAUUAGAUCAUAUCUUUUUUCUCCUCAUAUGAGAAGCAGCUGAGUGAGGAGCUUGAGUCUGUGUGAGCUGAGCGAGAGCGUCUUCUGUCUGAGAAUACAGACAGCCCUCAGAAUCAUGCAGAGGAGUUGGUGCUCUCUACCGUGACCUCACUAACUGAAGAGAAAGACCAGCUCCAGGAGAUACUGGGGGAAGUCAGAGAGGAGAGGAACCAGCUCAAGAGAGACUUGGAGGAGAAUGUAGAAAUGAUGAUACAUAUCCAGGCAGAACUGAAACAGCAACGACAUCUGAACUCAGAACAGCAGACUGAGAGGGAACAAGUAUCUGUCAACCCUUUUACAUUCAGGUUACAUUAGAACAUUGUUUAAAUACUGGAUACAUUUCUUAUUUUUUGUUUUGUUCAGAUACAGCAGCUAGGAGAGGAACAGGAAACCAUGACAGAGGAGAGGUGUCAGUUGAAGGGUGACCUGCAGGAAAAUAUGGAGAUUGCUGAAGAAACCCAGGGACUUCCCUUGGAUGGAAUGGAGGAGCUCUGACAACAGAGCCAACUGAACUCUGACCUUGAGAGCCAAAGUUUACAUAAGGAGUCUAUUCUAGAACUGCAGCUAAGCAGCUGAGAGAGGAGGUUGAAUCAUUGCAAGCUGAGAGAGAGCAUCUCCUGUCUGAGAAGACCGAUAGCCCUCAGAAUCAUACAAAUUAGUUGGAGAAGCUGCUCUCCACUGUGACCUCACUGACUGAAGAGAGAGACCAGCUCCAGGAGAUGCUGGGGGGAGUCACAGAGGAGAGAAACCAGCUCAAGAGGGGCCUGGUGGAGAAUGUGGAGAUGAUGAUUGAAAACCAGGAGGAGCUGAGGGUGGCCUUAAAAAGAUUCACCAUCAAGAGGAAAAUAUUAAACAUGGAUACUGCACAUCUGUUACAUCUAGUUGAACUGCAAAGUCAGAAGUCAACAAAUGAGAGCGCCUGGGUUAACCUCUACAUCACCCAAGGAACAGAGAAGGAGUAGGAUGAGGGCGUCCGGCAAAAGGGAAGAACAGCCGAGAGCUGCCAGUGGCACGAGCGUACCAGACGACCUAAACUACUUCAAUGCUCGCUUCGAGGCAAGUAACACUGAAACAUGCAUGACAGCACCAGCUGUUCCGGAAGACUGUGAUCACGCUCUCCGCAGAUGAUGUGAGUAAGACCUUUAAACAAGUCAACAUU